GACAGAACCCUGAUUCAAGAUAUACUAAUUUGACUGGUGGAUUCAAGGGAAGCGCCGUGUAAUUCGGCCGCGGUCGCCGCCACUGUGACUCCGCCCUUUUCUAAAUACGUAAAUAUCGAAUAGGGAACUCUUUUGGCAUGUAUGAAACGCCACUGCCCCGCACCUAUUACAUGGGCGCGGGGUGGGAAGGCAGCCAAAAGAGCGGGGAAGCCAGGAGACCUAUCUCCAGUCACAACUAAUA
rnacentral:ncRNA from 2 species